rnacentral:rRNA from 1 species
ACGGGGUGCAGCAGGCGCGAAAACUUGGCAAUGCGAGAAAUCGUGACCAGGGAACUCCAAGUGCAUGGGGUAAGACCCAUGCUUUUCUUGACUCUAAAUAGGUCUUGGAAUAAGGGGUGGGUAAGGACGGUGCCAGCCGCCGCGGUAAUACCGGCGCCUCAAGUGGUAGUCGCUUUUAUUGGGCCUAAAACGUCCGUAGCCGGUCUGAUACAUUCGUGGGUAAAUCAACCAGCUUAACUGGUUGAAUUCUGCGAGGACGGUCAGACUUGGGACCGGGAGAGGUGUGGGGUACGCUCAGGGUAGGGGUAAAAUCCUGUCAUCCUGAGCGGACCACCUGUUGCGAAGGCGCCACACUAGAACGGAUCCGACGGUCAGGGACGAAGCCUAGGGGCACGAGCCGGAUUAGAUACCCGGGUAGUCCUAGGUGUAAACGCUGUGGACUUGAUGUUGGGGGUGCUCCGAGCACUCUCAGUGUCGAAGCGAAGGUGAUAAGUCCACUGCCUGGGAAGUACGGUCGCAAGGCUGAAACUUAAAGGAAUUGGCGG